UACGUAGGGGGCUAGCGUUGUCCGGACUCAUUGGGCGUAAAGCGCGUGUAGGCGGUCCGGUAAGUCCGCUGUGAAAGUCGGGGGCUCAACCCUCGGAUGCCGGUGGAUACUGUCGGGCUUGAGUACGGAAGAGGCGAGUGGAAUUCCUGGUGUAGCGGUGAAAUGCGCAGAUAUCAGGAGGAACACCAAUUGCGAAGGCAGCUCGCUGGGACGUUACUGACGCUGAGACGCGAAAGCGUGGGGAGCAAACAGG
rnacentral:rRNA from 1 species